GGAGAGGUGGCAGAGUGGUUCAUCGCAUCGGUUUUGAAAACCGACGUAGUUUUAAAGCUACCGAGGGUUCGACUCCCUCUCUCUCCG
rnacentral:tRNA from 1 species